rnacentral:rRNA from 1 species
AUGGAGCAUAGUGACGGCGAGACCGCCGCUAAGCGAGCCAAGCUCUCCUCCAGCGGCAGCGAGGACCUCCUCAGCGCGCUAUCCGACGACGUUCUCAUUCACAUCCUUCUCAGGCUCCGCAACACCGCCGUCGCCGCUCGGACCAGCGUCCUCUCCAGCCGCUGGCGCCGCCUCUGGGCCCUCCUCCCGGGCCUGGACUUUCUCCCCGACACCAACCCAUACAGCAUACCCGCCGUCCUCGCCGCCCACCAAGCGCCCGCCCUCCGCUCUCUUCGCGUCCUCGCCAGGGACGCCUCUGCCGAUUUCAUGGCCGCGUGGCUCCCCAUCGCCGCCCGCCGCCUCUCCGGCGAUCUAUUCUUCAUCAACACUGUGUCGCCGGACGACGAGGCCGGGGACAGAGGCGCCUUUGAACUGCCAUGCUUCGAGAACGCCACCUCGAUCUCGCUCCACUUAGGGUUUCUUGGCAUUGCAGUGCCAGCCUCCGCCAUAUCCUCUCGGCUCACCGAUCUUCGCCUGUAUAGCUUCCAGGUACAGGGUCCGUGCCUGCUCGGCGACGUUGUAUCCUCGGCGUGGUCCCCAUGCUUGCAAAGGCUCACCAUCAACGAUGCCCGAGGCAUCGACAAAUUCACCAUCUGCUCAGAGUCUCUCCUGCAGUUGAAGCUCAAGGAUCUAGAUGGCCUGCAGCAGCUCACUGUCGUGGCGCCGACACUCAAAGAGCUAAGUGUGAUCCUUUGCUUUGCUCCGAAUCAACCUAUUGCUAGCGUCUCAGCGCCUGAGCUGGUGUCGCUCCAGUGGAAUGAUGCUUAUGAUCCAUGCUCUGUCCAACUUGGCGAGAUGGCACAUCUACAAUGUCUGCACGCUGGCAUUUUUCUCGUAUAUGGACCAGUUGAUUUUACACCCAAUCGCGAUUGCCUGAGGAUCUUGCAGGACUUCAAGGUCAUGCACAGUCUAACCCUCCUACUGCUCUAUAAUCCGGAUAUAGGUAACAAUCGAUACUUGAUGGAAGACAUGACAAGGCUCCCUGACGUUACAUGCUUGUCCCUGACUGUGAUGUCAAACGGACAUUGCUUUGGUGCCAGCUCAUUCCACAUUCUCGGACUGUGUACUGGUGUAAGAAAGUUGGCACUCAACUACUUUGAGGCGCAGACUCCAUGCCCAUCGAGUUGCAUUUGUGAUCAGCCAACACACUGGAAAACCGAGAAACUUGUGCUUGAUCGCCUCCAAGAAGUAGAAAUUAGUGAACUAUCAGGAACUGAACAUGAACGUGAUUUUGUGCAACGGUUAUUCAGUUGGGCAACGGCCUUAAAAAAGAUGACAGUAUCUUUUCAUCACUCAAUUACGGAAAGCAAGGCCAAGGGGUUGUGCCAGAUGUUACGAAGCUUCUCCAAAUCGGAACUGCAUAUGGAAUUUUAUGUGCACCGCUGUUUGGUGGGGAAAGUUCUGUAUGUUCCUGAAGAUUAA